rnacentral:lncRNA from 1 species
AGUAAGAUGAAGACGUAUGAGUCCAUUUUAACGAUAAUAUGAUGUAUGUUUGUGUGUAACUGCUGUAGCUUGCAGGUGACGCAGUGCGUAUGACUCAGAGGGAGAAAGAGCGCUUACAGGAGCUCCUCAAGGACAUAGAAGAAGAAGAGGAGGCUUAUGAUGACCCACUGGCCAACCCUGAGCUUGCAGGUGAUGUGGGGAGUGGAGUUUUGACUCAGAAAGAAAAAGACAGAUUAAAUCAGCUCCUCAGUGACUUAGAAGAAGAAGAAGAAGAAGAAGAUUAUGAUGACCCACUGGCCAGCCCUGAGGCAGACUUUUCACUGUGGACUGUGCCCACCACAUCUGGUGAGGGUUACACGCCCCAGCCGGCCGAGCUUGACCAGCUCCUUCAUAUCGAUGCCAGACUGCAGCUCCUACUUCCUGUUGAGGACUUCUUCUGUGUGAGAAGCCCAUAUACUGACCGCAGCCUGACCCAGAACACGCAGAGGGAGUCGACGUCCAGUGUGUUUCAGCUGCUCACAUCCUCGUACUCGACCACACCAGGCAACCCGGCCACUCACUCUCACCGCAGUGUAGCUCUGCAGCUGGACUGGCUGUGGGAACGGCCGGCUUUCGGACGGUUGUGGUGCACAGUGCAUGCAUCCUGCCUGACACAUCUAUUUAAACUAGUGCUACAGAAUCUCUGCUGGUAUUAAAAUUAGAAUAAAUAUGUAAAGUUGCACA